ACAAAUUUACAAGCUUAUAUUUGGCAAAAACUUGGGGAUGUUAUUCAUUCACCAUUUUCUUCCAAACUUUCACUUUUCAUCUUUCUAUCGAGUUGAAGGGAAGGAAAGCUCAAAACGCUCGAAGUCGUCUCUAGGAAGGACAGAAUUGACCUUGGAAGAGGGGAGUAUUUGCGAAGUCAUAUUGUUCUUUUCUUCAAGAGCUUGGAAUGAAGCUUAAAGUGUAAGGGCCUCAAGUAGCAAGAGCAUGUACAAUGAUGCUGUGUCACCAGUUUUACAUGCGCCAAUCCAUGCAAAGAAGGAUUGGCAGGUGGAUGCUUUAAUUGUUUUCCCUUGUUUUAAUGUGCAC